rnacentral:rRNA from 1 species
AGAGAGAGACAUGCGCGCAUAUCAAUAAGCGGAGGAAAAGAAACUAACAAGGAUUCCCUUAGUAACGGCGAGUGAAGCGGGAAGAGCUCAAAUUUGAAAUCUUCAAGGUUUUACCUUGACGAAUUGUAGUUUAAAGAAGUGUUUUCUGCUGAAGUUUUGGUAAAAGUUCUUUGGAAUAGGACAUCAUAGAGGGUGAGAAUCCCGUAUUUGACCAUUAUUUUCAGCUUUGUGAUACACUUUCAAAGAGUCGGAUUGUAGGGAAUGCAGUCCAAAAUGGGUGGUAAAUUUCAUCUAAAGCUAAAUAUUGGCGAGAGACCGAUAGCGAACAAGUACCGUGAGGGAAAGAUGAAAAGAACUUUGAAAAGAGAGUUAAACAGUACGUGAAAUUGUCAAAAGGGAAGCGUUUGACACCAGUGUUGUUUUCUCGAAAAUCAAUUAAAAAUGGCUCGAUUUUGUAUUGCUGAGACCUUAAAAGCUCACUGUACAUUUUUCGUGUCUUUUUUAAUGCACUUUUCGUUUAACAAGUCAACAUCAGUUUCUUUUGUUGUAAAAGGGUCAUUGGAAGGUGGCUUUCUUUUCGGAGAAAGUGUUUAUAGCCUUUGGCCUCUGCAAUCGGAGAGACUGAGGUCUGCAGCGUAGACUCUUCGGGGUUAGAUACAUUUGUGCUAAGUUAUAGCUUUUUAUAGACAACUUGUUGACUAUAAUUAGUCAUGUAGCUUACUCGCUUAUGCUAUUUUACCUACGCUUAGGAUGUUGAAGAUGUAGCACAUCAU